CGAUAACGAACGAGACCUUAACCUGCUAAAUAGUUAGGCCAACGAUUGUUGGUCGUCAACUUCUUAGAGGGACUAUUGACUAUUAGUCAAUGGAAGUUUGAGGCAAUAACAGGUCUGUGAUGCCCUUAGAUGUUCUGGGCCGCACGCGCGCUACACUGAUCAAGUCAGCGAGUUUACAACCUUGGCCGGAAGGUCUGGGUAAUCUUUUGAAACUUGAUCGUGCUGGGGAUAGUCCAUUGCAAUUAUUGGACUUCAACGAGGAAUUCCUAGUAAGCGUGAGUCAUCAGCUCGCGUUGAUUACGUCCCUGCCCUUUGUACACACCGCCCGUCGCUACUACCGAUUGAAUGGCU
rnacentral:rRNA from 1 species